AACAAAAGCCGCCAGAUUCCUCACAAUAUUCUACCUCUGCAUGAUCUGGAUAUCAAAAUCAAAUUUUUCCUCGAGCUUCAACGUCAAAAUCUGGUCUUGCUGCAGAAAACCCUAAGAAAAAUACAGCUGCCCAAAGUAGCGAGGACAGUAGAAGAGACCAAUAGGCUAAGGUUAGAUUUUUUAUUUUUGAGUAGUUUUUUGUGCACCGUAUGUGGUGUAGAAAAAAUAUAUCAUUCUAUCUGAUUGGGCCAC
rnacentral:lncRNA from 1 species